UGCUGGCGGCAGCUACCAUGCAGUCGAGCGGUAACAGGGGUAGCUUGCUACCCGCUGACGAGCGGCGGACGGGUGAGUAAUGCAUAGGAAUCUGCCCGAUAGUGGGGGAUAACCUGGGGAAACCCAGGCUAAUACCGCAUACGUCCUACGGGAGAAAGGGGGCUUCGGCUCCCGCUAUUGGAUGAGCCUAUGUCGGAUUAGCUAGUUGGUGAGGUAAUGGCUUACCAAGGCAACGAUCCGUAGCUGGUCUGAGAGGAUGAUCAGCCACAUCGGGACUGAGACACGGCCCGAACUCCUACGGGAGGCAGCAGUGGGGAAUAUUGGACAAUGGGGGCAACCCUGAUCCAGCCAUGCCGCGUGUGUGAAGAAGGCCCUCGGGUUGUAAAGCACUUUCAGCGAGGAAGAACGCCUAUCGGUUAAUACCCGGUAGGAAAGACAUCACUCGCAGAAGAAGCACCGGCUAACUCCGUGCCAGCAGCCGCGGUAAUACGGAGGGUGCAAGCGUUAAUCGGAAUUACUGGGCGUAAAGCGCGCGUAGGUGGCUUGAUAAGCCGGUUGUGAAAGCCCCGGGCUCAACCUGGGAACGGCAUCCGGAACUGUCAGGCUAGAGUGCAGGAGAGGAAGGUAGAAUUCCCGGUGUAGCGGUGAAAUGCGUAGAGAUCGGGAGGAAUACCAGUGGCGAAGGCGGCCUUCUGGACUGACACUGACACUGAGGUGCGAAAGCGUGGGUAGCAAACAGGAUUAGUCCCU
rnacentral:rRNA from 1 species